CUAUGGCGGUUAAAAGGUUAAUAUUUGUUGUCGCAGGGACGCAUUGGCACCGUCACCCACGAGACCAAGUAAAGCUUAGUGGAGACACUGGCGAAAGGAGUCAAGGCGUUUGGAGUAUUUUUAAAUCAUACAAGUGAAUAAAGACUAAUAUGUAUAAUUAAAUAUUAGGACAUAUAAUAGCGAGGUAUUAGUUAAGCGUCCCUCACGUUUCAUGAAAUUCUGUAUUUUUUUAUAUGUGUAGGACAUGGGUUAUAAUAUAAUAAAUAAAAAACCUGCAUAAAAAUAGACAA